GACGAACCGCCCGAACGUUGUUCGGAAUCACUGGGCUUAAAGGGAGCGUAGGCGGGCUGCCAAGUCCGGGGUGAAAUCCUCCAGCUUAACUGGAGAACUGCCUCGGAUACUGGAAGUCUCGAGGAGGGUAGGGGCAAGUGGAACCGUGGGUGGAGCGGUGAAAUGCGUUGAUAUCCAUGGGAACUCCGGUGGCGAAGGCGACUUGCUGGACCCUUCUGACGCUGAGGCUCGAAAGCCAGGGGAGCAAACGGG
rnacentral:rRNA from 1 species